CGGAGCCGCGCGCACGCCUGCGCUCGCUGCUCGCCCUCCAGCAGCAGCCCUUCUUCAAGGACUUCUCCUUCCUCGACGCCAGAUCCAAGAAGUUUCAUCCACUCCAAAUAUUGGAAAAAUACUUUCCUGAUGGGCCUGUAACAUCAUCUGACUUUGUGUCAGAUGAUACUUCAUUUAGAGAUUUUUCUCCAGACUCAAAAUGAUGGUAUUUUGAUCUGUGUUUCCUUCAGAAGUGGCAGUUCUGCAUCAAUAAGGAGGUAUCAUUUAUUUUUAUGUAAUCAUACAAUACAAACAGUUUCUGCACUAUGGACAGAAAUUGUCAUCUGUGAAUACAAGAAGUUACCAAAAGAACUUUUAGGUACUAACAAAGUGUAACUUUUGUCAAUUAUCCUUUCUUUUAUUGUUACCUCCUUUAAAUGUUACCAAAUGUCUAAAAUAAUGCAAACCACCAAUGCAAUAGGUAUAUAUUUUCCAAACAGUGUGAGUAAUGACUGUGGAUCAUAACAUUUUUUUUUCUUUUAUGUGUUUGAGCUUUUAGUUUCAGUGUUUUUGAUGUUAACUGUUAUUACCAUCAUUAUUUC